CGUAGGUGGCAAGCGUUGUCCGGAAUUAUUGGGCGUAAAGCGCGCGCAGGCGGUCCUUUAAGUCUGAUGUGAAAGCCCACGGCUCAACCGUGAGGGUCAUUGGAAACUGGGGGACUUGAGUACAGAAGAGAAGAGUGGAAUUCCACGUGUAGCGGUGAAAUGCGUAGAGAUGUGGAGGAACACCAGUGGCGAAGGCGACUCUUUGGUCUGUAACUGACGCUGAGGCGCGAAAGCGUGGGGAGCAAACAGGAUUAGAUACCCUGGUAGUCCACGCCGUAAACGAUGAGUGCUAAGUGUUAGAGGGUUUCCGCCCUUUAGUGCUGCAGCAAACGCAUUAAGCACUCCGCCUGGGGAGUACGGCCGCAAGGCUG
rnacentral:rRNA from 1 species